CUGUAGACAGGAGGAGGUAACUCUAUCAAGCAUUUUGACAGAAUUAUGCCCCUUUUUCGACUUAGAAUUUACGUUAAAGUUUUUGUAAUAGUUCAAAUAUUUUCAAAGUCCAUAGACAUAUGGCUUUGAAACUUUGCACACUUGUUCACCAUCAUGACCCCAACCUGUAAACAGGAGGAGGUAACUCUAUCAAGCAUUUUGACAGAAUUAUGCCCCUUUUUCGACUUAGAAUUUACGUUUAAGUUUUUGUAAUAGUUCAAAUAUUUUCAAAGUCCAUUGACAUAUGGCUUUGAAACUUUGCACACUUGUUCAACAUCAUGACCCCAACCUGUAAACAGGAGGAGGUAACUCUAUCAAGCAUUUUGACAGAAUUAUGCCCCUUUUUUGACUUAGAAUUUACGUUAAAGUUUUUGUAAUAGUUCAAAUAUUUUCAAAGUCCAUUGACAUAUGGCUUUGAAACUUUGCACACUUGUUCACCAUCAUGACCCCAACCUGUAAACAGGAGGAGGUAACUCUAUCAAGCAUUUUUUUUACUAUCAAGCACUAAGAAUAGUCAAGCGUUGCUGUCCUACUGACAGCUCUUGUUUGAAAUAUUGCUACUGACAAGAAUCUGAGCCGGGGGCAUUUGUGUUUAACAAACACGUUCUUGUUAUUUGAUGUUUCAGUGUUGCUAAUAUUAUAUAUUAUUUAUAAUUAAAAUGUAUUGUUUUUGCUUACAUAACUUUCCUUGUGUGGACAGGAAUUUGAGAUCCACAUGUGGAGCAGGUUAUCAGACAUUUUUAACAAAUGAUUUAUUUUAAUCAAAUAAAACUUACAAAAAGCUAUGCUGCCAUGGUAACAGUUUAUUUUAAAGAGAAUAUACGGUGCACAUAAUGAUAUGCAACACAUAUUAAUAUACAAAACAUUAUUAUCACAAUAAAAUUAUUAUCCAUGCAAAAAAGUGGCCAAACUUGUUCUGGUGAAAUUUGAGUAAGAUAUGGUAGAAUAUUAAAGAAAAGUUGAUCAAGAUCAACUAUAUUUAUGAAAAAUAAUUUUGAAAAUUGUUGUGGUAAAAAUGUCUCUCUGUGUAUUCAUGAAUAUCUUACUUUUUAUUUGCUUCCAGAAAAAAAAGACAUUUCAUGGUUAUGGAUAUUAUAUUUGCCAAGGCAUAGCUCGCUAGUUUUAUUGUUUUUGCUGUAUUUUUAACAGUUGUUGAAGCUGAAUGCAUGGUUACAUUAGAUCAAUUUUAUACACAUUUAUAAUACUGCACGUUUGUAAAGCUGCUUUUCAUAAGAUAAUUGUGACGUUUAUAUAGUUUUAUAUACACUGUUGCUCUCAAUUUAUGAAGAAAUCUCAUUUUUUUCCCUUAAAAAGAACUGAUGCUUGCUGUAUUAUAAAUUUGUUAUAAAUAUUUCUGACAGGUUAUAUGACCGUAUAUAAACAGUUGUUUCAAAUAUAACCCUCGCCUAGCAGCUUAGGUUAUAUUUACAAACAACCGUUCGUAUAGGGCUAUAUUACUUGUAAAAAUCUUUAUAACUAAUAAUAUAAGACAUUGGUCAAAAUGGGCAUAAAUGAAUUUUAACUUUUAUUUAUAAUGAUUUGAUCACAUUUUAUGUGGACAUAGAUAAAUGUUUAUUCAUUUCUCAAGUACUUUACAGACAAUUGUAUAUAUUAGACUAAUUAUUAGCUGUAUAUAUGGAUUUUAUGAUGUGAAAAUAGGAACAAAAUGUUGCCUUACCUUUUUAUGCAUAUGAGAGAGUUCUAUAUUUUUACAUGUGAAUCGGAAAAAAAUUCUUCAGUAUAUUUUUAUUAAUGAGAGUACGACAGACUGCCUUGUCAUUUACAUAUAAAAGAAAGACUGCUGUAUAGUUUUACAUACUGUACAAGUAUGAAAGACUAUCUUACCUUUUUUGACAUAAAAAUGAUGUAUAACUUAAAGAAAUAAAAUGUCCUGUAAGUUUACAAGUGACUCACUGUAUAUGUAAUUUUUUCAUAUUUCUGAUGAAGUUGGCAUGUAUAUUAUAUUGUUGUAUUAUGAUGCUAUAUAUAUUCAGACCUUACCAUGUUCUCCCCAUAAGUUCAUUCCUCGCUUUUGUAAGGGAAUGUUUUAUACUAAAUUAAUGAUACACAAAGCUGUCUGUUAAUGUUUCACACUGUACAUCUCAGGGAACAUGUUUCAAACUGUACAUUAGCAAGGUACAUGUUUCACAUUGUACAUUACCAAGGUACAUGUUUCACACUGCACAUCACCAAGGUACAUGUUUCACAUUGUACAUUACCAAGGAACAUGUUUCACACUGUACGUUACCAAGGAACAUGUUUCACACUGCACAUCACCAAGGAACAUGUUUCACACUGCACAUCACCAAGGAACAUGUUUCACACUGCACAUCACCAAGGUACAUGCUUAUACACUGUACAUUACCAAGGUACAUGUUUCUUACUGUACAUUACCAAGGUACAUGUUUCACAUUGUACAUUACCAAGGUACAUGUUUCACAUUGUACAUUACCAAGGUACAUGUUUCACACUGUACGUUACCAAGGAACAUGUUUCACACUGUACGUUACCAAGGAACAUGUUUAAUUGUACAUUAACAAGGAACAUUGCGUCUCAACUGUUGAAUCCUCUUGUAACAUCGUCUCAAGCAGUUUUUGCUGACUAUGCAAUUCUUUCUGGUGUAUUAUUUGUUAUCAUUUAUUGUCAUCAAAAUUAGUAAAAGAUUUGCUUGUUAGACUAUUAACUAUAAAUGAGCAAGGCUAACACUAUUCACUCCAUAUGGAAGGUCAUACUAGGGCUUUUUAAAUGUAUGACUCAUCAUGAUGGUUAGUUGGUUUUGGGAUAUGUGCAUGGGAUUGUUGCACCCACAUCCUUACAGCAGAAAAUUACCAAUGUUCUCAUUGUUUAAAAGCAUAUGAAUUAGGAGUACAUCUACUGGAAAUGUUCAUGCAUGAUCUUGGUCAGUCUUAUUACACUGAUGUGCCAUACAAUUUUAAUACUAAUUAUUACAAAAUAAUAUAUAUUUAGCUCCGUUGAGCACAUGGUGCUUAUUUGAGCCCCUUUAGAGCGAUGGCUGUCUGUAAUCUUCAUCCUUCACCCACAAUUGUUUCAAUUGAUAUCUUCUCUAAAAGUACUUGACCAAAUUUUAAAAUAAUGGACUGAGAUAUUCUUUGGAUUCAGCUAUACCAAAGACUUGAAGAUAUUUUUUGGCCAUCAAAGUCAAAAAAGCUAAUUAUAGAUUUACAAGGGUGUCUACACUGCCUUUGUGGAUAGGCAAAUAUGUAAAAUUAUUGAUACUUCAUAUUUUGUAUAAAGUUAAUUUUGAAGAACAUCUAAAAUUUACAUUUUAACACGCUUCACACUAUACCUGAUCAAACAGAUAGGGUAGUCAAGUGUAUCAUUACACAAAAUAUGCACAUCAUAAAAAAGGAAUGCUUGCACGUCAUAUGAUGUUAAUUAACCAAAUGAUGUCAAGAAAAUUACUUCUACGCUUAAUGUAGUUCAACAUAUUUCUAUCAAUUCCCUUUUUUAAAUGGCACAUUACAAUGGAAAUACAUAUUAAUUUUUCUUGCAUUAUAAUAUGAUAAAGCUGGGUUUGUCAUUCAAGUGCUUUGUAAUUAAUCACUUUGGCCUGUUGGCCUCUGUGAUUGUACUCUACUCAUUUUUGACUUUAACUGUGCAUUACACCUAAAAUUGAAAUCUAUUUCGUAAAUCAUUACUCAGAAGAGCAAUAUGAAGGUCAUCAUGACUAAAUUGUUACUUUAGGUAGUAGGUCCAUUUGAAAUAGUCAUUCUUGAUGGAAUCCAAUCAUUUUCAGAUUAAUCUCAAAAGAUGAUUAUUUAAAAAUUAAUUUCUUUAAUGUAAUUUAAGUAUCAGUCUGCUAUAUGUUUGGAAAUUUCACAUUAUUUUUUUUACAGAUUGAUGUAUUGUUUUGUUGGACUUUGAAAUAAAGUGCUGCCAUAUACUGAAAUAAAGCUACUAUCAAAUUA